UACUCCUACGGGAGGCAGCAGUAGGGAAUCUUCGGCAAUGGGGGCAACCCUGACCGAGCAACGCCGCGUGAGUGAAGAAGGUUUUCGGAUCGUAAAGCUCUGUUGUAAGUCAAGAACGGGUGUGAGAGUGGAAAGUUCACACUGUGACGGUAGCUUACCAGAAAGGGACGGCUAAAUACGUGCCAGCAGCCGCGGUAAUA
rnacentral:rRNA from 1 species